UCCUGGUUUCCCAGGCAGUCCCGCCAGAGUGCUUUCCGAAGAAAUAGCAACUGACAGCAAGAGUUGCGCUCGUUAGAGGACUUAACCAGACAUCUCACGACACGAGCUGACGACAGCCAUGCAGCACCUGUGCAUUUGUUUGGACCGAAGCCCAAAAAACCGUAUUUCUACGACGGUCAAAUGCAUGUCAAGCCUAGGUAAGGUUCCUCGCGUAGUGUCGAAUUAAACCACAUGUUCCACCGCUUGUGCGGACCCCCGUCAAUUCCUUUAAGUUUUAGUCUUGCGACCGUAGUCCCCAGGCGGAUCACUUAACGCGUUAGCUACGACACUAAUUUCGCAAAGCGAAACUAACGUCCAGUGAUCAUCGUUUACGGCGUGGACUAC
rnacentral:misc_RNA from 1 species